rnacentral:rRNA from 1 species
CCGAAAGGCAGGAGUGCCCGCAAGGGAGCGCGGAGACAGGUGGUGCAUGGCUGUCGUCAGCUCGUGUCGUGAGAUGUUGGGUUAAGUCCCGCAACGAGCGCAACCCUCACCUCUUGUUGCCAUCAGGUCAUGCUGGGCACUCUAGAGGAACUGCCCCGGUCAACGGGGAGGAAGGCGGGGAUGACGUCAAGUCAUCAUGCCCCUUACGUCCUGGGCUACACACGUGCUACAAUGGCCGGUACAAAGGGAUGCCACACCGCGAGGUAGAGCUAAACCCAAAAAGCCGGUCUAAGUUCGGAUUGGAGUCCGCAACUCGACUCCAUGAAGGAGGAAUCGCUAGUAAUCGCGUAUCAGCACGACGCGGUGAAUACGUUCCCGGGCCUUGUACACACCGCCCGUCACACCACGAAAGCCAG